AGCAGUCGCCACGGUAAUACAGAGGGUGCGAGCGUUAAUCGGAUUUACUGGGCGUAAAGCGUGCGUAGGCGGCUAAUUGAGUCGGAUGUGAAAUCCCCGAGCUUAACUUGGGAAUUGCAUUCGAUACUGGUUAGCUAGAGUGUGGGAGAGGAUGGUAGAAUUCCAGGUGUAGCGGUGAAAUGCGUAGAGAUCUGGAGGAAUACCGAUGGCGAAGGCAGCCAUCUGGCCUAACACUGACGCUGAGGUACGAAAGCAUGGGGAGCAAACAGGAUUAGAUACCCCUGUAGUCCCUGUCUCUUAUAC
rnacentral:rRNA from 1 species